CCUGUUUAUCAAAAACAUGUCUUUUUGAUGAUAAUUUAUUUAAAGUCUAAUCUGCUCACUGAAUUAAAAUUUAAAGAGCCGCAGUAUUUUGACUGUGCAAAGGUAGCAUAAUAAUUUGUUUUUUAAUUGAAAACUAGAAUGAAUGAUUGAACGAAAUAUAUUCUGUCUCAAUUUUAAUUUAAUAUAAAUUAAUUUUUUAGUUAAAAAGCUAAAAUUAAUUUAAAAGACGAGAAGACCCUAUAGAUUUUUAUAUAAAUGUGAAUUAAUUUAUAUGUGUAUAGAAAUAAAUAUAUUUAUUUUUAUUUAUAUUUUAUUGGGGUAAUAGAAAAAUAAAAUAAACUUUUAUUGAAUAAUAACAUAAAUUAAUGAAAAUUUGAUCCAAAUUUUUUGAUUAAAAGAUUAAAUUACCUUAGGGAUAACAGCGUAAUUUUAAUUUUAAGUUCUUAUUGAAAUUAAAGAUUGCGACCUCGAUGUUGGAUUAAGAAAAAUUUUAAAAGUAGAUUUUUAAAUUUUAGGUCUGUUCGACCUUUGAAAUCUUACGUGAUCUGAGUU
rnacentral:rRNA from 1 species